CCGCCCGUCACGCCAUGGGAGCUGUGAGCGCCCGAAGUCCGUGUCGCAACCCGCAAGGGGGCAAGCGGCCGAAGGCGAGCGCAGUGACUGGGCG
rnacentral:rRNA from 1 species